rnacentral:rRNA from 1 species
AUUGAACGCUGGCGGCAGGCCUAACACAUGCAAGUCGAGCGAGUGGCGGACGGGUGAGUAAUGUCUGGGAAACUGCCUGAUGGAGGGGGAUAACUACUGGAAACGGUAGCUAAUACCGCAUACCAUCAGAUGUGCCCAGAUGGGAUUAGCUAGUAGGUGGGGUAACGGCUCACCAAGGCGACGAUCCCUAGCUGGUCUGAGAGGAUGACCAGCCACAAUGGAACUGAGACACGGUCCAGACUCCAACGGGAGGCAGCAGUUGGGAACAUUGAACAAUGGGCGCAAGCCUGAUGCAGCCAUGCCGCGUGUGUGAAGAAGGCCUUCGGGUUGUAAAGCACUUUCAGCGGGGAGGCGUUACCCGAAGAAGAAGCACCGGCUAACUCCGUGCCAGCAGCCGCGGUAAUAC